rnacentral:rRNA from 1 species
CAGCCGCCGCGGUAAUACGUAGGUCCCGAGCGUUGUCCGGAUUUAUUGGGCGUAAAGCGAGCGCAGGCGGUUAGACAAGUCUGAAGUUAAAGGCUGUGGCUUAACCAUAGUACGCUUUGGAAACUGUUUAACUUGAGUGCAAGAGGGGAGAGUGGAAUUCCAUGUGUAGCGGUGAAAUGCGUAGAUAUGUGGAGGAACACCGGUGGCGAAAGCGGCUCUCUGGCUUGUAACUGACGCUGAGGCUCGAAAGCGUGGGGAGCAAACAGGAUUAGAUACCCCAGUAGUCCCUGUCUCUUAUACC